rnacentral:rRNA from 1 species
CCUACGGGUGGCUGCAGUGGGGAAUAUUGCACAAUGGGCGCAAGCCUGAUGCAGCCAUGCCGCGUGUGUGAAGAAGGCCUUCGGGUUGUAAAGCACUUUCAGCGGGGAGGAAGGCGGUGAGGUUAAUAACCUCAUCGAUUGACGUUACCCGCAGAAGAAGCACCGGCUAACUCCGUGCCAGCAGCCGCGGUAAUACGGAGGGUGCAAGCGUUAAUCGGAAUUACUGGGCGUAAAGCGCACGCAGGCGGUCUGUCAAGACGGAUGUGAAAUCCCCGGGCUCAACCUGGGAACUGCAUUCGAAACUGGCAGGCUAGAGUCUUGUAGAGGGGGGUAGAAUUCCAGGUGUAGCGGUGAAAUGCGUAGAGAUCUGGAGGAAUACCGGUGGCGAAGGCGGCCCCCUGGACAAAGACUGACGCUCAGGUGCGAAAGCGUGGGGAGCAAACAGGAUUAGAUACCCUAGUAGUC